CGCGGGGUGGAGCAGUGGCAGCUCGUUGGGCUCAUAACCCAAAGGUCGGAGGUUCGAAUCCUUCCCCCGCUACCC
rnacentral:tRNA from 1 species